rnacentral:rRNA from 1 species
UACGUAGGGGGCAAGCGUUGUCCGGAAUCAUUGGGCGUAAAGCGCGCGUAGGCGGCCCGAUAAGUCCGCUGUGAAAGUCAAAGGCUCAACCUUUGAAUGCCGGUGGAUACUGUCGGGCUAGAGUCCGGAAGAGGCGAGUGGAAUUCCUGGUGUAGCGGUGGAAUGCGCAGAUAUCAGGAGGAACACCAGUAGCGAAGGCAGCUCGCUGGGACGGUACUGACGCUAAGGCGCGAAAGCGUGGGGAGCGAACAGG